GGGAAGUCCUGGUCUCCUGCCGGAGGGGAGUGUCUGAAAAAGACACUGGCCGGGAUGGGAGGGGUCGGACGCCUUCUUCUUUUACCCUCCCUAGGGUCCUGGAGGAGUGCAGGCUAAGCAGAGAGGGCAGGCUGCAGCCACUCGCCCUCUCAGCAGUGUGGAAGAUGCGCUGCAGUCAGUGUGCAGUCUUCCCCUCGUCCCUCGCUGUGACAGCUGGGCACCAGACUCGGAGGGAGGAUGUGAGGAUGGACUCUAGGGUGGCUGAUUAGAAGUGAACCAGCAUUGAAAAGGCCAGGUUGCAUUUCCUCAGCUGCCGAAGAAAGUAGAUCCUCAUGCCUACCCAGCUUCACAUGCUGCUUCCUGUCGGACAGGAGUCAGUGAUCCACCUGCAGGUUGAGUCAGGCACAUUUCACUUGGGGGAGUUUGUCCUGAAACCUAGCCGGGAUAAUGGUGUUAAAGGCAGAACCAAAGUCCACAAAGAGUAUCCUAGAAUAGGUGCCAGUAGCGUCCAGGGUGCCAUUUUGACUGUCAUCCACAGACCUGUUUGACCUAUAGGCAAAUUGCAGGGGAUCCAGAUGGGGGUUGGUGAUGGUUUCGAGGUGAGACAGCACAUGGCGUUCAAAGGUUUUCAUGGCUACAGUGGUCAGGGCUAUAGGUCUGUAUUCAUUAAGCUUAUUAUUAUGCUUUUUUAGGCACAGGGAUGAUGGUUGAGGCCUUGAAGCAGGCUGCCACCUGAUUUGUCUCUGAGGUGUUAAAGGUGUCAGUGCACACCUCAGACAGUUGGGCUGCACAGUGCCUCAGGGUGAAUCCCCUUGCGGGGAUAUGUUCACAUCUCUCAAGUAUGGAGAGAGAGGUGGAGGUGGUGGGGGGGGCACCUAGAGUCACAGGCAGAGGAGGUUCAGGGUUAGGGGACAGGGUGGUUGAGCAGGAAGGUGGGGUGGUAGGGUCAUUCCAUUUCCUGUCAAAGGCAGUCAAAGUCAUUUAGGCAGUUGGCAAGUUGGUGUGAGUCGUUGGUGAUGGUAUUGGUAGAUUUGGCUGAACCCCCCCCCCCCAAACAGAGACAGAGUCACUGGCAGUGAACUGCUGCUGUAACUUUACAGUGUUCUGCUGUUUGGCAUCCCUUACUGCCUUGUUGAAUGAAUACUUCAAUGCUUUGAACCUGUCUCUGUCUCCACUCCUAAACGCUACCUCUUUUUCCCUCCUCAGCCUUUUGAGCCUAGCUGUGUGAACCAGGGUUUGUCGUUGUUGAAACAUACCCUGCUGCAUGAUGAUAUGCAAGCAUCCACACAGAAACUGACAUAACGUCACAGCGUCUUUGUACUUGUCUAGGCUGUUGGCUGCAGUCUUAAAAACCUCAGUCAGUGCCCUCUAGACAUGCCUUCAGGUUCUCCACUGCCCCAUCAGUCCACUGUUUUGAUGUUCUGACAGCAGGUUUAGUGAGCUUCAGUCUUUGUCUGUAUGUGGGAAUCAGGUGGACUGUGACCUGGUCUGACAAGCCUAGUGUGGCAUGCGGAACCACACGGUACGCACUGCAUAUCGUACAACAGUGAUCUACAAUAUUAUCUCUCGUCAGACAUUAAAUAUGCUUUGUAUUUUGUGAGUAUUGGCAUGGGGCGGGAUGUAAAUGCCAACUAGAAUAAAAGAGGCAAACUCUCGUGGGUAGUAGAAGGGUUUUCAGGCAUCAGGGGUAGUUUCACCCAACCACGUCUCGGUGAAACUCAAGGCAGCAGAUGAUGAAAAGUCUCUGGAUUUCCCAACCAGUAGUUGUAGUUCAUCCAUCUUAUUUCCCAGCUAGCGAACAUUGGAGAGGAAAAUGCCCAACAUUGGAGUUGACUUACCGUUGACUUACUCUCAGAGUUCAGAGUAAGUCAACGGGAACCGUAGCCCUGAUGUCCAUGAGCUUGUCUCUAGUAUACGAGCAACAAUACCCUUAGUUUAUGAUAAAAUCAAGACAUAACAAAGCGCACCAAGUUACCGAGGCAGCCAUCAGCAAUCCCAUGAAGAAUGUAUAACAGUUCUGUUGGUAGACUGUUACUAUCUAUUAAUAAAACUGUGUUUUUAUUCUUAAUAAUGGUCCUACAGUACCUAUGUUCACGGAUACUGCUUCUAUUACCAUGCAGUUACAAUAGUUUAGCUCCUGUUCAUGUGAGGGGAAUACACUUUAUUUGUUUAUAGGGCCUGUCUCAACACAACAAGAUUGUAGUAUCUGGAAACACAUAGAUAAUUCUGCGCUAUUUUUGGUGCUGUGAUUCUUCAGAAAAAGUAGAAAUAGUAAGAAAUUAAUAAAAGUGUAUUCCCCUCACAUGAACAUGAGCAAGGCUACUGUAUCUGCAAUCCAUGGAAGCGACUAACAGAACUCAAAUGCAAACGUAGUGAAUUCGCGUUCUGGACACAAAAUUAUGAAUUUGAAAUUACUAAUGAAUCUGGGUAAGACAGCCAAAUUAGCUUAGAAACAGGACUGUUUGAUCACUGCUUCAUUGUAAAGAUGUCCAAAGAGUUUCUGCUCAUAUAAUAGAUUAUGAUCUGAUGCGGCAGCAAUGUGUUUAUGGAAAUGUGUAAGUGGAAUAGUAACAGUGUCUUGUUGGAAAGGUAUUUGGGAACAGAAAAGUGUUCUCUCUCUCUCUCUCUCUCUCUAUAUAGUGUAUAUAUAUAUAUAUAUAUAUAUAUAUAUAUAUAUAUAUAUAUAUAUAUAUAUUUAUAUUUAUAUUUAUUUAUUUAUUUAUUUCAAAAGGCUAGCAGCUACAAGGAAGCCGGUACAUGUCUGUACCCACACUUUCCUCGUCCCUCAAACUCCCUGUGCUCACAGUGUUGAAUGUUUAGGUUGUGUGUGUUUAUUAGUCUAAAACUCUGUGUGUUUGUAAGUGUCAUUUUUAUGUUCUUUCUCUCUCGCACUCUCCCUGUGUUCCAUUGUUGUCGUUGUUUAACCUCAGUUUGUCUCCCUUUUGUGUUUUCUUUUUGUGUUUUUUAUUCUAGAUCUCUUCCUGCCCGUUUGUUCAUCGUUUGCCCUAGCAUGUCGAUGUGAGGUCACAGUCCAAUCGUCCAGUCCUUGUCCUCUACGCUUCUCUGAUGCUUCUACUUUCACUUUUAAUCUUGUGUUCUUGAGUUUUUGUUGUUCAUUUGCAUUUUUGAGGUUCUUCAUUGGUCUGUGUGUGUCUUUGUGUGUGUG
ensembl:lncRNA